AGAAGACUAUGGUUUCUCCUUUGCAAGAAGACUAGCGGAAACAAUGAAAAUAAUUACGAGGCCAUGAUUGCAUCGUAUGGAUCCCUAGCUCCAAAACGAUACACGUACUCAGAGGUAAUGAAGAUAACAUCCUCUCGCAGCAAUGAGCUUGGAAAAGGUGGUUAUGGUGUGGUUUUCAAAGGAACCCUACUUGAUGGCCGUCUAGUAGCAGUGAAAUUCUUGCAUGAAUGCAAAGGAAACGGGGGCGAGUUUGUGAAUGAGGUUAUGAGCAUUGGCAGGACUUCUCAUGUAAAUGUUGUUAGCUUGUUUGGGUUCUGUUUGGAGGGAUCAAAACGAGCUCUUAUAUAUGAGUACAUGUCCAACAAUUCCUUGGAUAAGUUCAUUUACUCAGAGCCCAAGGAAAUUUUAGGAUGGGAUAAGCUCUAUGUAAUAGCAAUCGGGAUUGCUCGUGGCCUCGAAUACUUGCACCAUAGUUGUAAUACACGCAUCGUACAUUUCGACAUCAAGCCACAAAAUAUCCUUCUAGACAAGGAUUUUAGCCCCAAAAUUGCUGAUUUUGGUCUAGCUAAAUUGUGUCAUACAAAAGAAAGCAAGGUUUCAAUGACCGGUGCUAGAGGAACAAUUGGAUUCAUCGCUCCAGAAGUUCACUCUCGAACCUUCGGAGUGGUUUCAACCAAGUCAGAUGUUUAUAGUUAUGGAAUGAUGCUGUUGGAGAUGGUCGGAGGAAGGAGAAACGUAAAAUCAUUUGUUGCAAAGUCCAGUGAAAAGUAUUUCCCAGAUUGGAUUUAUGACCAUUUUGCUCAGGACGAAGGUUUGCAAGCAUGUGCUAUAACCAGUGAAACUGCGGAGGUAGCAAGAAAAAUGACCUUAGUGGGAUUGUGGUGCAUACAAGUAUUACCUAUAUAUCGCCCUACUAUAACAAGAGUUCUUGAAAUGUUCGUGAGAAGCUUAGAUGAGCUGGACAUGCCACCAAAGCAAAGCUUCGGUGAACUAGUGUGA
rnacentral:rRNA from 1 species